rnacentral:lncRNA from 1 species
CGCCACCAAUGUGGCCCAGGCCGCCGGCCCCUGUGACACUGCAGUCACCCCCUUGCUCCCCGUCGUGGCCUCCCGACCAAGCAGCCAGAGUGACCCCCAAAGCCUAAAUCAGCCUGCAGCGCCCUCACCCCUCCUCCAGCUGCCACCUCCUCCUGGGUGAAGAGGACGCAGGUUGCAGCCCCCGCAGCUCUGCCCCUCUGCCCUCCGGCCAGGCCACCUCGCUGUCCCCCUUACUGUCCACCCCGCUGUCCACUCCGCUGUCCCCCCGCUGUCCCCCUGCUGUCCCCCCCCCUGCUGUCCCCCCCGCUGUCCCCCCCACUGUCCCUCCCGCGAGGGGCUUCUGCACGUUCUGCGUGGGCCUCUCCUCAGGGCCGCCCCAGGUCUCCCCUGACGCCCACGCUCACCACCAGGCUGUUGUGCAGGACCUUCCUUCUCUGCCUCUCCAGCUGGUGGCGCGCACUGACGUCCUGCAAGGCCCGCUCCAGGUGCGCCACCUUUGACUGGCAUGCUGAAAGGACAAAGGGACAGAGGCAUUUUACCAGAGAGGACAUUCAUGGGGCCCAGCAGGUCAAAUUCUUUUCUCUAAGUAUGGGAGACAUUUUUAAAAACAAUGGAGUCCUCCAGGGCCGGCUGCGUGCUGUGGCGUGUGCUCCUGACAGCUUUGGACCCAGGCUGCCCUGUCCCCACCACGACCAGGGACUCAGAGAGCUCGCCUGGGGGACCCGGCCCCACAGUCACCGCGUCCGUCAUCAGCCUGAAACGCCAUCAGCCCGUGAAUGCUGCCCCAUCGUCUGCAUGGCAGCCAAGGAGGUCUCUGCUCCUAAAGCACCUGGGAACCCUUGGAUGGUCCCAGGUGAUGUGGCGAUGGGUGGGCACUGCGUGGGGGCCUUGGCCAAGCUUGGACACCCCAGUCCCCAGACUGGCCAUUGCCGUGGAGGCAGCACGAGGGUGACAUGGAUCUCGGUGUCAUGCUGCAGGGGAUGCCUCGCGACUGUAUGUGUCAUGAUAGCCAGGGGCCCCUCCACAUGUCACUUCGCCAAAGGACGCAGCCCGGCCCGGGGCUUUCUAUCCCAGGCCCGAGGACCUGCGGGGACAAGGCCCCCUCAGCACAGAUGCAGCUCUCAUGAGGCCUGAAAGCAAGCUGGACUUGCAGAACCGCGCACACUCCCUUUCUGAAAGAAACACCUGUUACUGGCUCCAGACUGAAUGAGGGUGUAAGAAAGCGGGAAGGGUCCCCCACAGUGAGAGAGAGACCCUCCCAGUCACUCGGUCAUCUGAGCCUUGACUAUGUCGGGCCCCAGCCACCAGCCUGUCCGCACUAUCCCUCUUGUCAGCGUAGCUGAAAGGAGCUGCCUGGGCACCUCAGGUGGCUGAGGCUCAUCUUUGAGGAGCAUGGAACUCAAGGGGAGAAGUCGCACCCCCAGGGAAGCCAGGAAACUCUGACACAGAACGCCCAACGUGGACACAGGUGCCAGUUCAGCAGUGACCGUCAAGGCCAGGGAAGUGCCCUGUGGUGAUCAGGAGAACAAGAAGCUCCUCCAGCAAGCGGGGCUGCAGUGGGAGCUGGGAGGGAGCAGUGCACACACCAACGUGGCCGAGUCACACAGUGCCUGCCCUCGCCUGUGGAAUUUGGUGUCAGCUAAAAGGAAGAAGAAAUGGAAACUUAAAUUCUAGCCGGUCAUUGUCUUAAAACUGCAAACAUUUCUCUCGAGCGUGGACUGGCCCGGCUUCGGUGAAAGGCGCCCCCUCCUACCUAGCAGGGUCUCCGCACUCUGCUGUGUUCUUUGCACCGCGGUCACUAUUUCAGAAACACGGUCCUGAUACUCAUCCUGAUAAUCUCUUAAGAGUGCCCAAGAAGAAGAAUGAAAUGCCUGUAUAUCCUGGUUAAGUUUCUAUAAAAUAAGAACACGAUUCAUAAAAUUAUAUGAUUAAUGAUCACAGUAUAAUUACAUAAGAAUUCGUUAUAUAUGUUUGUAUAGAAUAAUAACAUACCCACACAAUUAAUAUAAGGGAUGUGUUGUUAACUGGAAGGGUUUAAAGCAGAAGUUCUUCGGCCCAGGCGUGUCAACGCCCGCCAGGACUGUUUUCAUGCUGCCCGCGCCUCGGCUCACUUACAGAAGUUCUGACUCAGUACAUCUGGGAUUCGUACUUUCAAAGCAGUACAUGUGAUAUGCCCUUAAAGUAUUUAAGAAACGGAAAGUGAAGUAUUUCACCAAUUUCCGUAGGAAGGGCCGCUCACUGCACGGUGGGGCGAUGCUGGGCGCGAGCCGUGUUUCUGUCUGUUGUUGACUUCCUCAGGAUGCUGGCUCAGGCUCAGAGCCUCUCAUCACCGCCUGUGAAAUGGGGACCACCCUGCUAAUCUGCUAUGCAGACCUGCCUUCUGGAAGCUCAAUUAUCACGAGCACAUGGUGGAAAACAUUUGGGCCGGUGAAAACAACUUAACGUGUAAAUGUACAUAAUAAAAUUCCAGGCACAAUACAUAUGAACGCUUUUAGAGGACUUUGGGGGCAAAGCAACUGAUGUCUUGCGUGGAAAGUCCUCUUCUCCCCCUGAAAUUAUCUCAAGGAUCUUCCAUGGGAAGAUGUGACAGAACCAGGACACUACUGCUUAAUAUUUAAUCUCAGACGCUCUUGAAUCACAAGAGCAUAACUAAACUUAAAUAGGUAUUCAUCGUUUCUUUAGUCAAAUCUCUCUUUUUCUGUAAAAUGGAGAUGGCUUUCAUAUGUUUGGGAAACAUUUUAAUAACAAAUUAAUAACAUUUUAAUAUCAAAA